rnacentral:lncRNA from 1 species
UAGCAACCAGGGAUGGGCAGAGGCAGCCCUGUCCUGAGGGUGACAUGAAAGUGAGAGCAAGCUGAAGCUCCAGUUGGCUUAGUCUUCAAAAGUGUCACUUUCAGAUUAUAUCCCUCAGCUUUAAAAUAUCCUUCUUUGAAGUCCAUCCUGCUCUGCCCACUAUUUGUCCCCGGUGGUCACUUCCUCCUCUGUGCUCCCGUGGCCUGGGAUUCACACCAGGAAAGAACGCCACGAAGAAGGAAUGGUAAGAUUGGAGUACGAGAAGAAAAAAGAGGAGUCAAGAGAGAAUCUAAAUCUAAA